CCCUGUGUGGUGCAGUCAAGCACUCAGUUUCUAACUGAUAGGUUGGUGGUUCAAAUCUACCCAGAGGCA
rnacentral:tRNA from 1 species